rfam:Pan troglodytes isolate Yerkes chimp pedigree #C0471 (Clint) chromosome 2B, whole genome shotgun sequence.
GCCAGGUUAAGAUGCCCAAUGCCAAUGCUCAUCAGACCCCAGAAAAGGUGUUGGUUGAUAUAGACAGCAGGACGGUGGCCAUGGAAGUUGGAAUCCACUAAGGAGUGUAACAACUCAGCUGCCGAAUCAACUACUCCUGAGAAUGGAUGGAGCUGGAGCGUUGGGCCCAUACCCGGC